GCAAUCCUUUCCCUACGUAACUGGACCCAGAAGAUAAAAAAUCAAAAGCUGGAAUUAACUACAGCAAUGCAGAACAGCUAUAAAAAUUGUGAAAGAGUUGCACUCAUUCUACUACUGCAACAAUCAAGAAUCUUUUAGAACAGUACAAAUAGUCCUAGAUUUCAAGAAUAAGGCAAGGAAUCUUCAAGCAGAGUUUUGAUAUUGAAUCCUAUAGCAAGUGGAAACUAUGAAGAUAAUAGUCCCAUUAUCAGAUAUGCUCUGAACACACAUAUAUACCUUAAUUAAUUCUCUGUCAUGAGAAGCUAAAAGCUUUGAAACUUGCAAGUUAUACAUAUUCAUUGACUUCCACAAAGUAAUAUCAGUGAAGAAACACCAGAUGAUUCAAUGACAAUGAAGCCAUGUUACAGGAGAUUCUACAAGAGUAAAAUGCCUGAAUCUUUUUAUUUUAUUUCUUCCUUUCAACAUGAAAUGCUGCAUAAUGGCAAAACCUUCAGCAUGUUACACGCUACAUGGACACAAUUGUGAAUUCUUGCGCCAUUUGGAAGGACUUUUGCUGCAAGAAAAACUCUACAUUUACGGAUUCUAGAAACAAAUGGAAAUAAAGUUUACCCGCUCAGCAAUG
rnacentral:misc_RNA from 1 species